UGAAUGAAUCGGAAGGGAGGGGAUGGUCAUGCUGGUGGGUUUCCAUUUCCAAAAUCACUCAUCUCUCUCCUCGCCUAUCUUCUCUCUCUUACUGGCUGGCUUUCCUUCUUUCCUCACUUCCGAUCCGCCCAGCUCUUCGAUCCCACUCUGCUUGCAGACCCUCCUACACCCAAGGUCUGCGUCAUGCUAGCAUCCCAUUAAUUCUAAGGGCGUGAGAGUGCGACAAUAGAAACCAUGGGGACUGAAAAUCCUGCUCACCCGAACUUUCCUACUAGACCUGCCGGCACACCUUUUACUGCCACUCAGACCACGUCACCCUUUUCAUCCUCUGGUCCUGUAGUUGGAUCAGACACCACUCGUUUUAGACCUGGCGCUCCUGUUAUGCCCCCAAACACAAUGCCUUUUCCUCCAUCCUCUGGUCCUGCAGUUGGAUCAGGGGUCCCUGGGUUUAGACCUAUGCAACCAGGUAGGUUUUCUGAUCCAUCUGUUCCACCUCCACCAACAUCAAGCGUCCCGGCUACUGCUGGGUCUUUCCAGCGUUUCCCAGCUCCACAGUUUAGUUCACCAUCUCAACCACCUCCUCCACGAAUUCCACCAAUGGGGCAACCCCCUGGAGCUUAUGUACCACCCCCUUCAGUUUCCUUUCACCAGCAAAGUCAGGUUCCUUCAGUGCCGAUGGGAUCACCUCCUCAAAGCUUAGGUCCUCCUCCCACAAAUGUUCCACAGCCUAUGUCAGAUCCAUCUUUUCCAUCAGCCAGGCCUAAUUUUCAGUCCUCUUUGCCUGGGUAUGUCCAUAAGCAACCUAAUGCAGAUUUACAUUCCCAACAAAUGCAACCUCCUCCUUUUGUUAGUCACCAAGGGCCGUAUGGUCCUCCUUCAGCACCAGCUUCCCCUUUCCUUAGUCACCAAGGAGGUUAUGUCCCGCCUCCUCCUGCUGCAGCCUCACAAGGUUUACUGUCUACGGACCAAAAGCACCAUCCAGGAACUGGACCUCCUCUUGGUUCGAUUCAAGGAUUGGCUGAAGAUUUCAACUCACUUUCUAUUGGAUCUAUUCCAGGAUCAAUUGAUGCAGGAAUUGAUCCAAAAGCACUUCCAAGGCCAUUGAAUGGUGAUGAAGAGCCUAAAAUGUUCUCCGAGGUGUACGCCAUGAACUGCGAUAAAAGAUAUUUACGUUUUACAACCAGUGCUAUACCCAGUUCUCAGUCACUGGUCUCAAGGUGGCAUUUACCUCUUGGAGCAAUUGUUUGUCCACUUGCAGAAGCUCCUAGUGGGGAAGAAGUGCCAGUUAUCAAUUUUGCUUCAACUGGCGUCAUCCGCUGUAGGAGGUGUCGCACUUAUAUAAAUCCAUAUGCCACAUUCACAGAUGCUGGAAGAAAGUGGCGCUGCAACAUUUGUUCAUUGCUGAAUGAUGUUCCAGGAGAUUAUUUUGCUCAUUUGGAUGCCACUGGCCAGAGAAUUGAUUUGGAUCAGCGACCUGAGCUCACUAAGGGUAGUGUGGAUUUUGUUGCUCCAACCGAGUACAUGGUUCGACCACCUAUGCCUCCACUAUACUUUUUCCUUAUCGAUGUUUCUAUAGCUGCAGUUAGAAGUGGGAUGCUAGAGGUUGUGGCACAAACAAUUAGGUCAUGCUUGGAUGAGCUGCCUGGUUCUACUAGAACACAAAUAGGUUUUGCGACUUUUGACAGCACAAUACAUUUUUAUAAUAUGAAGUCGACUUUGACUCAACCACAAAUGAUGGUGGUUUCCGAUCUGGAUGACAUAUUUGUACCUUUGCCGGAUGAUCUCCUUGUCAACUUAUCUGAAUCAAGAACUGUGGUGGAAUCAUUCCUAGAUAGCUUGCCAUCCAUGUUUCAGGACAAUGUGAAUGUUGAAUCUGCCUUCGGCCCAGCCCUUAAAGCAGCAUUUAUGGUUAUGAGCCAACUGGGGGGGAAGUUGUUAAUUUUUCAAAACACACUGCCAUCUCUUGGUGUUGGCCGCUUGAAGUUGCGUGGGGAUGAUCUUCGUGUUUACGGAACAGACAAAGAACAUUUACUAAGACUGCCCGAGGAUCCAUUCUACAAACAAAUGGCUGCUGAAUUUACCAAGUUCCAAAUUGGGGUCAAUGUCUAUGCAUUUAGUGACAAGUAUACAGAUAUUGCUUCCUUGGGGACUUUGGCAAAAUAUACUGGAGGCCAGGUGUAUUAUUAUCCAGGCUUCCAAUCUUCCAUUCAUGGGGAAAAGUUGAGACAUGAGUUAGCAAGGGACCUGACUAGAGAAACUGCCUGGGAAGCUGUAAUGCGUAUAAGAUGCGGAAAAGGAAUCCGCUUUACAUCGUUUCAUGGGAAUUUUAUGUUAAGAAGCACCGAUUUAUUGGCACUUCCAGCUGUAGAUUGUGAUAAAGCAUUUGCAAUGCAAAUUUCUUAUGAAGAGACCUUAUUAACAACCCAGACAGUCUACUUCCAAGUUGCCUUACUAUAUACUGCAUCUUGUGGAGAGAGACGUAUUAGAGUUCAUACAGCAGCAGCACCCGUGGUUACAGAUUUGGGUGAGAUGUACCGCCAGGCUGAUGUUGGUGCCAUUGUCUCCUUGUUUAGUAGGCUAGCAAUUGAGAAAACACUGUCCCAUAAGCUGGAGGAUGCUCGCACUUCAGUUCAACAGAGAAUCGUUAAAGCCUUGAGAGAGUAUCGUAACCUCUAUGCUGUACAUCAUCGCUUGGGAGGCAGAAUGAUAUAUCCCGAGUCUCUUAAGUUCUUGCCUUUAUAUGGGUUAGCAUUGUGCAAAUCAGUACCUCUUCGAGGGGGUUUUGCUGACGCUGUGCUUGAUGAGCGAUGUGCAUUAGGCCUUGCAAUGAUGAUUCUUCCUGUUAAAAACCUAUUGAAACUUUUAUAUCCUUCACUAAUUCGACUUGAUGAGUAUCUAUUGAAGGCAUCUCCCACUCAGACUAUUGACCUUAAUAGCAUAGAGAAAAGGUUGCCACUGACCGCUGAUAGCUUAGAUUCCAGAGGCCUGUACUUGUAUGACGACGGCUUCCGCUUUAUUGUUUGGUUUGGUAGAGUGCUUUCACCCGAUGUGUCGAUGAAUUUACUUGGGGCAGACUUUGCAGCAGAACUAUCAAAGGUUAUCCUGAGUGAUCAUGAUAAUGUAAUGUCAAGAAAACUAUUAGAGACGCUCCAGAAAUUUAGAGAAACCGAUCCUUCAUACUAUCAGCUAUCUCAUCUUGUUAGACAAGGCGAACAACCUAGAGAAGGCUUCCUCCUCCUAGCAAAUCUUGUUGAGGACCAAAUGGGUGGCACGAAUGGUUAUGUUGAUUGGCUUCUACAAAUACAUCGGCAAGUUCAGCAAAAUGCUUAAUACAAGGUGAGGAGUGUCUUGCGCCUUGUUGCACUUGGGUUUUAAAAUGUUUUCUUUUAGUGAAAGACGUCUAUAUAAUUCUUUUAAGCCUCAUUUUCCCUUGCUUUUACCAUGAUUGGUUUUUUUUUCUUCCGUUUAGAACCUUGCUUUUAUCUAAUGUUUGGCUUUUCCGUCUUGUGAAUAAUUAUAUAAAUGCGAAAUAGUUUCAUGUUCUACAAUGAAUGUCAAGUUUUAUACAAAAGAUCUGUAAACAUUUUUCAUAAACUUGUAUCAAUACACAAAAACUGCUUUGGGUUCUCCUCAUGGAAAUAAUAAAGAGUUUAGAGGGAAUUGGUUCAAGUCAUGGUGGUUGCUUAGAAUUUAAUACUGUACGAGUUACCUUGACAACUAGAUGCAGUAAGGUCAGGCAUUAUGCGGUAAUUUCUCUCUCAGUGGGUUGGUGGGAGGCUUUCCUCAAUUGGGUUUAUCUCUGAUUGGGUUUCAGAAUCUUUGAAAAGCAUCAGUUAUAAAUGUUAUUGCAAUGGGUAGAUACAGUGAAGACAUGAUCCCAAUGGUAGAAUUUAACGUGAAGGUGACAAAAGGAAAUGUAAUAACAAAGCUUUUGGAUCUUGGAGGAGAACUAAGGUUUACCUAGCAGGUGGGAAAGAUAAUGCCAGGCAGUUUCUGCAAUUGUUUAUGUUGUGGAUGCUGGUGGUUAGGAGAACUUGUCUGUCUCAAGAAGCGAAGUUCAUGCCUUGUUAAAAUUUUAAAUGUAGCAGGAUAGAGUUUUGGCAUAAAGAAGCCCGUUGUCUCGGAAACAAUGGAAGAUUUUACUGAAGGCCAUGAGGGGAAUUCAGCUUCAACAACUGGCUCCAGGAAGCAACGUGGAUUCGGAUUCAGCUCUUCAUAAAUUUGUUACCAGAUAGAUUAAUUUUUUUUUGUCUUUUAACAAUAAUUUUUUCCCUUCUUGAGAGGUUGUCACGAUUAUAGGGAUAUCUAAAUCAGAUGUUACUUUCUAUUUCUUAUAUUAUGUUAGUCUAUAUCUCACCCCCCCCCUAGAUUUGGGUAGAAUUGUUGCAAAAGCUUUGGAUUUUGUUUGGUUAUACAACUUUAAUUUUGUCCUGGUUCUUGAGGUGGUUAUUUGAAGGAAGUUGUGUAAUUUUACAACUGGAACUACAUAUUAUUUAUUAUAUUCAUAUUUAUUCAGCCACAUUUUGGAA